UGUCUUCGGGGCGGAGUGAGAUUCUCCACCGGCGGUGAUUGCUUCGUGCAUAAGUCCGCGAGCUUUAUAGCUGAGUCUGUGAAAUUCAGACACCGACGGUAUAGUCCGGAUGGUAGAAGAUG
rnacentral:ncRNA from 1 species